CCUACGGGUGGCAGCAGUGGGGAAUAUUGCACAAUGGGCGCAAGCCUGAUGCAGCCAUGCCGCGUGUAUGAAGAAGGCCUUCGGGUUGUAAAGUACUUUCAGCGGGGAGGAAGGCGACAGGGUUAAUAACCCUGUCGAUUGACGUUACCCGCAGAAGAAGCACCGGCUAACUCCGUGCCAGCAGCCGCGGUAAUACGGAGGGUGCAAGCGUUAAUCGGAAUUACUGGGCGUAAAGCGCACGCAGGCGGUCUGUCAAGUCGGAUGUGAAAUCCCCGGGCUCAACCUGGGAACUGCAUUCGAAACUGGCAGGCUAGAGUCUUGUAGAGGGGGGUAGAAUUCCAGGUGUAGCGGUGAAAUGCGUAGAGAUCUGGAGGAAUACCGGUGGCGAAGGCGGCCCCCUGGACAAAGACUGACGCUCAGGUGCGAAAGCGUGGGGAGCA
rnacentral:rRNA from 1 species